rnacentral:rRNA from 1 species
CCCUUAGAGUUUGAUCCUGGCUCAGGACGAACGCUGGCGGCGCGCCUAACACAUGCAAGUCGAACGAGAGAUGAGGAGCUUGCUCUUCAAAUCGAGUGGCGAACGGGUGAGUAACGCGUGAGGAACCUGCCUCAAAGAGGGGGACAACAGUUGGAAACGACUGCUAAUACCGCAUAAGCCCACGGCUCGGCAUCGAGCAGAGGGAAAAGGAGCAAUCCGCUUUGAGAUGGCCUCGCGUCCGAUUAGCUAGUUGGUGAGGUAACGGCCCACCAAGGCGACGAUCGGUAGCCGGACUGAGAGGUUGAACGGCCACAUUGGGACUGAGACACGGCCCAGACUCCUACGGGAGGCAGCAGUGGGGAAUAUUGCACAAUGGGGGAAACCCUGAUGCAGCGACGCCGCGUGGAGGAAGAAGGUCUUCGGAUCGUAAACUCCUGUUGUUGAGGAAGAUAAUGACGGUACUCAACAAGGAAGUGACGGCUAACUACGUGCCAGCAGCCGCGGUAAAACGUAGGUCACAAGCGUUGUCCGGAAUUACUGGGUGUAAAGGGAGCGCAGGCGGGAGAACAAGUUGGAAGUGAAAUCCAUGGGCUCAACCCAUGAACUGCUUUCAAAACUGUUUUUCUUGAGUAGUGCAGAGGUAGGCGGAAUUCCCGGUGUAGCGGUGGAAUGCGUAGAUAUCGGGAGGAACACCAGUGGCGAAGGCGGCCUACUGGGCACCAACUGACGCUGAGGCUCGAAAGUGUGGGUAGCAAACAGGAUUAGAUACCCUGGUAGUCCACACCGUAAACGAUGAUUACUAGGUGUUGGAGGAUUGACCCCUUCAGUGCCGCAGUUAACACAAUAAGUAAUCCACCUGGGGAGUACGACCGCAAGGUUGAAACUCAAAGGAAUUGACGGAAGGGCGA